ACGGAAGGCAGCAGUGGGGAAUAUUGGGCAAUGGGCGAAAGCCUGACCCAGCGACGCCGCGUGAAGGAAGACGGUCUUCGGAUUGUAAACUUCUUUGACUAGGGACGAAUAAUGACGGUACCUAGAAAACAAGUCACGGCUAACUACGUGCCGGCAGCCGCGGUAAUACGUAGGUGACAAGCGUUAUCCGGAUUUACUGGGUGUAAAGGGCGUGUAGGCGGGUUUGCAAGUCAGAUGUGAAAUCCCGGGGCUUAACUCCGGAACUGCAUCUGAAACUGUAGAUCUUGAGUAUCGGAGAGGAAAGUGGAAUUCCCAGUGUAGCGGUGAAAUGCGUAGAGAUUGGGAGGAACACCAGUGGCGAAGGCGGCUUUCUGGACGAUAACUGACGCUGAGGCGCGAAAGCGUGGGGAGCAAACAGGAUUAGAUACCCUGGUA
rnacentral:rRNA from 1 species